AUGAAGUCACAACCUAAGACUGCUAUUGACCUCUCAUUUAUCCACCAGAGCGUGAAAUGGGAGGAUUCCCCGGAUGAUCAAAAUAAAGUUGUGGAGAAUAUGAAGGAUGAAACAGAGACACAUGAGACCAACAAGAACAGGACAGGAGGCAAGGCUAAACGUAAGUCCAGUGGCAGUGCCAAGAAGACUUCCGUGGAGGAGGACAGCAGCAUUGGUGCAGCCAAUGGAGAGUGAUUCAGCAUGGCAUGAAAAAUAACCUCACAUUCGAGCAGCUCUCCAUGCUGUGUCUGAAGAUUGUUAAGGUCGUGACCCAGACAGCCCUCCGCAUUCUCCUACCAGCGCUAGCUCGUAUCAUG
rnacentral:lncRNA from 8 species